rnacentral:lncRNA from 1 species
AUUUAACUAUAAGAUUUACCAAAUACAUACGAUUGUUUUCUAAACUCACAACACUUUUAAAAAUAACAUGUUUAAUUAAUUAUCUUCAUAAAUUAUUAUUUUUACAACACAACUAACAGUAAUUAUUGUAAAAGCCACAACAUACGAAACUAAGGACUAGAAGGUAGCAUUCAAGUUUUAGACAUCCCAUAUGUUAUUCAAAAAAUUUAGUAUUUAUUAAGUGAACAUUGUGAUAUGAAUAUUCAUUUCAAAAAAUAGGGCAUGAAAAGGUCCAAAUCAUUUUUUAAAUCUUCACCUUCCACAAAAUUUGAAUUUAAAUAACCAAUUAAAGAAAUAUGAUUAAAAAUCACUCAGUUGAUCCCCAAUAAUGUGAUAACAUAAUUAAUUCACUUAAAACUUAUGAAAUUUUGUCACCACUUUAUGAAUGACAAAUUACAUAUCACAACAUUUAACAUAAAUUUAAAAUAUUUAGCAUAUUUAUCAUUAUUUGUUGCUAAAAAUGUAGAUAAGUGUUAAAUAAAUAGAUUACGAAAACUUCCCAAACACUUUUUUUUGUUAAAAAUAUUAAAAUAAACUACUUUUGACAUUUCAAUAACAAAUUAACAAUCCAAAUGGGACCUCAUGAUAACUUUUUAAAUCUAUUUAUUUGAAAAUCAAUUUUUGUAAAAUAAAAUUCCUAAAAUGCCUUUCAUAAAAUCAUGGGAUAUUAUCAUUUUCCCACCAAAAUUUUUCUAACACAUUAAGUCAGUACCAUGGUUAGGUAAAUACAAUAUUUUACUACCAAGUGUUCAUACUAUUAACAUUUUACCACAUUCCAUUAAAAAUAAGUUAAUAUCUAAUAGAAUUUGAGUUAAAAGUUGAUUUUCCCCCUUGACCAUAAAAGACGAUUUUCUCCUUUCAAAAGAAAGAAAUUACAAAAAAGAAAUUUAUUAUUUGUCCACAAAUUUUUUUUACAUAUCAAUUCAGUAUCAAGAUUUCUUAAAAACUAUAUUUUGCCACCUAGUAUUUAAGUUUUUAUCACUUUGCCACCAAAACAUUAAAAUAACUAAAUAUUUAACUUGGAGUAUAAAAGAUGAUUUUGUUAUUUGAAAAGAAAGAAAUUACAAAAGGAAAAUUAUUCUAGAAAAGUAGUUAUUCUAUUUAAAAAACGACUACUUUUUUUAUUAUAUAAAAAUGUUGUUGUGCAUUCAAAUAUUAAGUUCCAAAUAAUAUAAGUCAAACACUUUAGUUUUGAUAAUAUCAUUCAACACUAGCAACCCUAAGCCAUUUCAAACACUACAACAGCAACCAAAUACUCUAAAUUUAACAAAUAUGUUAACAUUUUGGUUUCAACAUGAAAUUCCUUAAAUGCCCUUAUGAUAUCAGUAAAUUUUUUACUGUGUUAAUGUUUUGGUAGUAAAGUGAUAACAACUUAAACAUUAGGUGGUAAAAUAUAAUUUUUACAAACUUAGUACUGAAUUGAUAUGUUAGAAAGCUUCUCAUGGACAAAUGAUAAUAUCUCUUUCACAAUUGAAUGGUGCAUUUUGGCUUUAACGUGAAAUUCCUUAAAUGCCCUUAUGACAUAAGCAAAUUUUUAACUACAUUAACAAAAUAGCAAUAAAAUGCUAACAACAUAAACAUUUGGUGGUAAAGUGUAGUUUUCAUCAAAUCAUAGUACUAAGUUGAUGCAUCAGAAAAACUUAGGUGGAAAAUAAUGUUUAGUAUCGUACAUGAGUUGCUCCUGUAGAAAAUACCAAUCCAAUCAAAUGAUAUGCUUAAUGUCUCAAAUGUUUCAUGUUCGACGUUAGCGGACCACCACUGGCCACCACUAAAAACUAAUGGUGGUGACAUGUUAUCUGACUUGCUAUUUAUAACUUUAAAUAUAAUUGAAUUAAAUAUUAUAUUGAUUUUUUUUAUUUUUUGCCAUUAAUAACAAAUUUGGA